rnacentral:lncRNA from 1 species
GGCAUAUGUAGAAAUGAUGCACCCAUGCUGUGCACACACCUGUGCAUACUGCGGGCACGCACAGCCUUCCCUGUGCAGAUAACACGAAUCCAUGCACAUUGCACACACGUGUGUAUGCCUGUGCUGCACACAUCUGUCCCUAUGCAUGACACCAGUCAUGCAUGUGCACACAUGGCUUCGCAUAUAUGGAUGUGUACACACAUAUGCGGCACCUGUGGCCUUGCCCACCCUCCUAGGCUGAGGAGAAGAUGUAUUUCUGGGUUGCUGCUGCAGCCAGCUCUUCCGGGGCUGCGGCUGGGUUCUGCCUCGCCUGCCUGGUCUGCACAGCUCCACCUGGCUCCUGCGGUCAGCCCUCCUCUCCACGCUGUGAGCUGUGAGGACAUUUCUCAUUAACUCUUGUGGACCCUGGGCCUGACCAUGUGCUGUCCGCAGGCCUGGAUGCCCUCUGCCUCAUCUUUCCUGGGGCUCGCUUCCUUCAAGACUUGUCCCAUGAUGUUCCUCCUUCAGGAAGCCUCCCGUGACCUCCCGGGCUGGAUCUGGGCCACUUUUGCCGGCCUCCUGCAUGCCCCAUGGGGCAUGGCCAUCAUCAGUAACCAUACAUCUCAGCUGUGUCCCAUCCCCACUGCCUGGUCCAGGGCUGGGCUCUCAGCUCACAGAAAGAGCUGAAUGAAGGCCUGGUGGCAGGAUGGGUGCCGUGAAGGGCAGAUGGGCUUGUGGGCCUGGCUCUAGCCUCCUUAGCCGCACUGAUGCUUGCUGGGUGCUGAGUGCAGGGGGUGCCUUCACCUGGUGGCUGCUUGUGCCAGGCCCCAGUGCCCCUGGCCAACAGGCCCUUUUCUCAGUUCCAUGGAGUUUGGGGUCAUCAGAUGUGGCUUUAGGCUCCUGCUCAUUCCCUUACUUAUUGUCUGGCAGUGGGGGAGCCUUCUGGCUUCCAGGGCCUCAGUUUCCCCUGUCUGUAAAAUGGGAGCAUUGGACCAGAGCAUUCCGAGGCCCAUGCCAGCCCUGAGUGACCCCCUCCCCCAACUUGGCUGUGAGCUCCUGGGGGUGGGGGUGGCGCCUGCCUGCCCAUCUCUGCCCUCGGUUGGUGUCCGCAGGGGAAAGGGAAGAGGCUGGACUCGGGGAGAGACCCCUCUCCACUCAGCCCUGGUGGGUGCGGGAACCAAGGGAAGCCAGCCCUAUCUUCUUGUCUCAAGACCAAGAGGACAUGUUUUCUCCCUGGAGCUGAGCUGAGCUUUCUUUCCCUAUGUUUAUUUGAAAUUUCAUUUUUAAAGACGAGUCAGGGAAAAAUGAGGCUUGCUUCUCUCCCUGCCCCUCCCUGAAGAAUUCCAGAAGCUGAUUUGUCUUGUCAGGAUGUGGCAGGGAGCCGUGGCCUGGGCUGGCUCUCUGAGCUGUUGCAUAUUGAUCAGCAUUGAUGGGUUUGGCACAGUCGAGUUCUUACAGAGCUGGCGGAAGUCCCUCUGGAGAAAGAACUGCUUCGGGGACUGGCUUUGAUUUGCAAUGAGUGUAAUAGAUUAAAGCAGUGGGUCAGCAUGUCUUAUUGAGCACCAGCUGUGUACCUCAGCCCUGGCCCUGCUGGGAUCCAAGCUCAGAUCCCCGCCUCCCCCGACCCUCUCGGUUGCCACCGAGCCCCACCUCUGCCUGCCCGCUGCACCUGCUCCAGUCUCCACCUGGCUUCUCCUGCUAGGGGCUGUGCCCUGCCCGCUAGCUGCCUGAGCCUGACAUUCAGGGCCCUCCAGUGCCCAACCUCAACCCACAGCCCUUCACUGGUUCAGUUGUCAUGCAGUCCGCAGACACCAGGAAGCAUCCUCUGCGUGCAGCCCUGGAGAUGUAGAGGUGACGAAGGCAGGGCGGCCCAGAAGACCUCACCUCCUGCUCCACCAUCCUGGGCCUGGGCCUAGCGGGGUAGGCUGGCAGCAGGCCUGCUGCCUGGACUCUGGGUUCGAGCUGGCUGGGUUUUCCUCUGUGACCUUUCCCAGCCUUGGUGGCCGCUGUGCACACUCCUCAGAAUGACGUCUGCAGAGCUCUCAGCCUGGGGCCUGCCCGUUGCUGGGUGGUUGCAGGAAGGAGGCCACUUGACCCCGUUCCAGCCAAUGAUACCUCCCUGAGGACAAGGGUGAAAGGUGCCGGGAGGCCCACUGCCUGCCUUCCUGCUUGCUUGGGCACAUGUGAGGAUGUGAUGCCCGGAGCAGCAGCAGCUGUCAUGUGACCAGGAGGAGCUGAGGAUGAGGAUGAAAACCAUGGAAGGAAAGAGGGUGUGUCCCCUGUGCCAUUGUUCUUGAGCCUCCAAGAACCCACCCGGGACCUACCCUUUGUCCAGACUUCCUCCUGCCGAAGGACGUACUAAGUGGACUUACUGUUUUACCCUUUUAGGGAGGAAGGUUCUGUAACUUGCGGCUGAAUGCGUCCAAGCCAUGAGUUGUCCCCCAAGCUCGUGAGUUGUCCCCAGCUCAAUUCUGCCUCCUUUGGAGAGUGACGUCCCACACACCUGUGCAACCUUGCAUGCCAAAAGGACUUUGCAGACAUGACUGAGGACCUUGCAUGCGGGAGGUGAUCCCCACGACACCUGUGGACCCAGUGUCAUCAGGGUCCUUGUAAGUGAAAGAGGCAAGAGGACCCCAGAAGAGGAGGUGUGAUGACAGAAGUGGAGGUCGGAGUGACAUGGAGACGGGACCCCUGGCUGCAGGAUGCAGUGCUUCUGGGAGCUGGAGAGGCCAAGAGACAGACUCUGGCCUGGAGCCUUCGGAAGGCACCGGCCCUGCAGACCACUUCAGACUUCCGACCUCCAGGGCCGGAAGAGGAAGCUUGGUGUGGUUCUAAGCGGUGGCAUUUGUGAUCAUUUCUCACCGCAGCCACAGUAGAUGGAGGCAACACCCGUGGGUGUUUGAGGGAUGGAUGAGUGGAAGCAUGCGUGUGGUGGAGGCCACUGCACCGUCCAAUUCCAGACAGUCCCGAGGAACGCCCGCUGGCAGCCCUGCCUCGGCUGUUGAGUCAUUAUGUGAUCUUGGGCAAGUCUGAACCUCUGCUUCACCACCUGUGAAUUCAGGGACAGGACUCAGUGGUCUUUCUCGGUCUUUCCAGGCCCUCAAGUCCUGGAGGGCACUGUGGGAGUGUGAGGUGGAGCCCGGGAGUCCCGCGGAUGGAGAUGAAAAUGCCAGCCCUGCUAGAUCCAGGCGGGAUGGAGUGUGGGGUGUGGGCACAGUGGCUUGUACAGGCCUGGGCUGGGCAGACUUGCCCCGGAGUCUCAGGCCACUGCGGAAGGAGGACGCGUGGCCAGCAGGUGCCACCAGGAGAGGAGAGGAGGGCCAGGCUGAGCUGCAUCUCUGGACUCCAAGGAGAGCUUGGAGAGGUGACUGAAACCCUGCCCCACCCCCAGCCUGUCUCCAUCUGUGGGUCCUUGGGCAAAUUGCCUCAUCUCUCUGAGCCUCGAAUGCGUAGCUUUCAGGACUAACUAGGGUACUGUGUACCAACUGCCUCUGCCAACGCCCCUGCACUGGGCAGCCCUGGGUACCUGGCUUGGGGGAGGAGUAGGCCUGGGAGGAGACUGAUGCUACAUUUCUCUUUAUCUAUCCCUGUAUUGUUUAAUUUGUUCCAAGUGCUUGAGUUACUUUGGCAAAUAGAAACAAUUCUAAUAAAGAGAACUAAGACCUUAGGAUCCCUGGCGCGUAGCAAGCUCUCGGCAAAUCGCAGUUGACCCUC